rnacentral:snRNA from 1 species
GGAUGUGAGGGCAAUCUGGUUGUGACAUCUGCCACCCCAUUGAUUGCCAGGGUUGAUUCAGCUGAUCUAGCUGGCUAAGCAAGUGUCCCCUUCCUCCCUCAAGGCUCCAUGUGGGCCCCCCCACGCACCCCCCCAACCCCCUGCCAAAGCUGCAUGCUCAGUCGAAGAGGACAACCAUCCCUGAUAGAGGACUGCUCUUCAGUCAAGGGUAUAGGAGUAGCUGUGCUCCCCUGCUAGAACCUUCAAGCAAGCUCUCAAGGAAUAAGUGGUAAUCUAAGGAUCAUUAACAUAUUUCCACAGUUAGUUCCCUGAAGAGCAGAAGAGGAGGUUUGCCCCCUUUAUGUG